rnacentral:ncRNA from 13 species
CGGACGUGGCGGAAUUGGUAGACGCGCCAGAUUUAGGUUCUGGUAAGUUAUCUUGUGAGAGUUCGAGUCUCUCCGUCCGC